rnacentral:ncRNA from 1 species
AGGGAGUAAACUUCUGAUGGAAGAAUAUAUACUUGCUUACCUAAAAGGAUUUUGAUAUUUGGAGGUCUGAAGUAUUCUGUCAGCUAACACAGUUGUAUGGUCUGAGAAACUGAAUUUUAGACUCUACGGUUUUGUACACAAAUUGUAACAUCUUUCAGUUUUCAGUUAUUAGAUAUUAAAAUAUCAAAAAUAAAUAUUCAGUUAUUAAAUAUUCAAUAUAUUGAUUUAUGCAAAGGCCUGUGGCAAGUGGUGACAUAAUUUUGGCCCAUGUUCUGAAUGGCAAAGUGAGGACAUUUACAGAAGCUUAGGUAGAUUGAUGGGUGUAACUAUGUCUCUCUUAAGUUAGCCAAAUGGCUCACUAACUAGGGACAUGUAUGAAUGGGUAAAUGAUAUUUCUACUGUCUGUACUGGUUAUCUGAUGAAACCACAGCCUAGGGAAUGUCUUGG